GAUGAACGCUGGCGGCGUGCUUAACACAUGCAAGUCGAACGAAGCACUUUAUUUGAUUUCCUUCGGGACUGAUUAUUUUGUGACUGAGUGGCGGACGGGUGAGUAACGCGUGGGUAACCUGCCUUGUACAGGGGGAUAACAGUUGGAAACGGCUGCUAAUACCGCAUAAGCGCACAGCAUCGCAUGAUGCAGUGUGAAAAACUCCGGUGGUAUAAGAUGGACCCGCGUUGGAUUAGCUAGUUGGUGAGGUAACGGCCCACCAAGGCGACGAUCCAUAGCCGACCUGAGAGGGUGACCGGCCACAUUGGGACUGAGACACGGCCCAAACUCCUACGGGAGGCAGCAGUGGGGAAUAUUGCACAAUGGGCGAAAGCCUGAUGCAGCGACGCCGCGUGAGCGAAGAAGUAUUUCGGUAUGUAAAGCUCUAUCAGCAGGGAAGAUAAUGACGGUACCUGACUAAGAAGCACCGGCUAAAUACGUGCCAGCAGCCGCGGUAAUACGUAUGGUGCAAGCGUUAUCCGGAUUUACUGGGUGUAAAGGGAGCGCAGGCGGUGCGGCAAGUCUGAUGUGAAAGCCCGGGGCUCAACCCCGGUACUGCAUUGGAAACUGUCGUACUAGAGUGUCGGAGGGGUAAGCGGAAUUCCUAGUGUAGCGGUGAAAUGCGUAGAUAUUAGGAGGAACACCAGUGGCGAAGGCGGCUUACUGGACGAUAACUGACGCUGAGGCUCGAAAGCGUGGGGAGCAAACAGGAUUAGAUACCCUGGUAGUCCACGCCGUAAACGAUGA
rnacentral:rRNA from 1 species